AAAUCAUUUCUGAGAUGAAGCUACAGAUUUUAGUAUUUGAGUGGACAUGAUCAAUUGUGAGAUUUUAUAAUUAUAUUUCACAAAAUUACCAACACAAAUCACUUUUCUCAUUUAUCCCUGAUUUCUAUCUUAGUAAAUUAAGGUCAAUCUAAGACACACUUAAUUAUUACUCCAAUUUGAUGUAAACCACAUGAAUUCCAACAAAUAAAAGGCCCCCUCCUACGUGAAUUAGCUACAUGUAAUACAUUACAACAAACUUGGGAUACCACAGCAUUUCCAUGUCACCUCUUAGCUCCUUCCUGACUCUGCAUUAUGGGCUUGUUUGUUCACACAUUCAGCUGUCCAACACAGCAAAGAGCAAUGAAGGGUAUUCCACAUGGUACCACUUUCUACACUCACUUUAUAGCUU
rnacentral:lncRNA from 1 species